rnacentral:rRNA from 1 species
AACAUGCCCUUCAUUCGGGAAUAGCCCUUGGAAACGGGGAGUAAUACCCGAUGGUAUUUCGGAGCAGCAUUGCUUCGGAAUUAAAGUUACGGCGAUGAGGGAUUGGUGUGCGUAAGAUUAGAUAGUUGGUAAGGUAACGGCUUACCAAGCCUUCGAUCUUUAGGGGGCGUGAGAGCGUGAACCCCCACACGGGUACUGAGACACGGACCCGACUCCUACGGGAGGCAGCAGUAGGGAAUAUUGGACAAUGGGCGGAAGCCUGAUCCAGCCAUGCCGCGUGAAG